UGGGGAAUAUUGGACAAUGGGCGCAAGCCUGAUCCAGCCAUGCCGCGUGUGUGAAGAAGGCCUUUUGGUUGUAAAGCACUUUAAGCGAGGAGGAGGCUACUUGGAUUAAUACUCUAGGAUAGUGGACGUUACUCGCAGAAUAAGCACCGGCUAACUCUGUGCCAGCAGCCGCGGUAAUACAGAGGGUGCGAGCGUUAAUCGGAUUUACUGGGCGUAAAGCGUGCGUAGGCGGCUUCUUAAGUCGGAUGUGAAAUCCCUGAGCUUAACUUAGGAAUUGCAUUCGAUACUGGGAAGCUAGAGUAUGGGAGAGGAUGGUAGAAUUCCAGGUGUAGCGGUGAAAUGCGUAGAGAUCUGGAGGAAUACCGAUGCGAAGGCAGCCAUCUGGCCUAAUACUGACGCUGAGGUACGAAAGCAUGGGGAGCAAACAGG
rnacentral:rRNA from 1 species